UUGGGACUUUAUCUCCAUAGCUAUGCCCUAUUCCUAGAUAGUUGCGGUAAACGAAUCCCAUAUAGUUAUUCACACUCUUUUGCAGAGUGGACCUGCAUUUCCCCCGGGAAAACUUAGCAGCAGGCCCAUUUUGAGAGCGUGGUAAAUUG
rnacentral:snoRNA from 1 species